AAUAAAUACAGUCAUGGAUAUCCGUGUCCAACAUUUAACCGUUCAUCUUAUUUGAAAAAUUUGUGAAAAAUUUAAAAAUAUUUAGUCACACAUAAAGUACUAUUCAUAUUUUAUCAUAAUAAAAAUACUAAUCAUAAAAAAUUAAAUUUUCAAAUAAGACGAACAGUCAAACGUUAAACAUGAAUAGUACAAAACUACACUUAUU
rnacentral:pre_miRNA from 1 species